rnacentral:rRNA from 1 species
AAUUUUGGACUAUGGGCGAAAGCCUGAUCCAGCCAUGCCGCGUGUGUGAAGAAGGUCUUCGGAUUGUAAAGCACUUUUAGUUGGGGGAAAGGCCGGUAAGUUAAUACUUUGCUUUUUUGACUUCACCGCCAGAAAACGCCCGGGCACUCUUCGCGCAGGCAGCCGCGGUAAUACGAAGGGUGCAAGCGUUAAUCGGAAUUACUGGGCGUAAAGCGCGCGUAGGUGGUUUGUUAAGUUGGAAGUGAAAGCCCCGGGCUCAACCUGGGAACUGCUUUGAAAACUGGCAAGCUAGAGUACGGUAGAGGGUAGUGGAAUUUCCUGUGUAGCGGUGAAAUGCGUAGAUAUAGGAAGGAACACCAGUGGCGAAGGCGACCACCUGGGCUAAUACUGACACUGAGGUGCGAAAGCGUGGGGAGCAAAC